rnacentral:rRNA from 1 species
CCUACGGGUGGCAGCAGUGGGGAAUAUUGGACAAUGGGGGGAACCCUGAUCCAGCGACGUCGCGUGAGUGAAGAAGUAUUUCGGUAUGGAAAGCUCUAUCAGCAGGGAAGAAAGAAAUGACGGUACCUGACUAAGAAGCCCCGGCUAACUACGUGCCAGCAGCCGCGGUAAGACGGAGGGGGCAAGCGUUAUCCGGAUUUACUGGGUGUAAAGGGAGCGUAGACGGCGAUGCAAGUCUGAAGUGAAAGGCGGGGGCCCAACCCCCGGACUGCUUUGGAAACUGUAUGGCUGGAGUGCAGGGGAGGUAAGUGGAAUUCCUAGUGUAGCGGUGAAAUGCGUAGAUAUUAGGAGGAACACCAGUGGCGAAGGCGGCUUACUGAACUGUAACUGACGUUGAGGCUCGAAAGCGUGGGGAGCAAACAGGAUUAGAUACCCGGGUAGUC